ACUGUUUACAGGCGAGGCAAAUGUUCACAUAAGUCUUACUAAGAGGAACGAAAACGUUAAGGCCACAGACAGAGGACUGGUCAGGAUGUACCAUCCAGCUCUUGGAAAACAGCUUUUAAUGAACCAACAAAAAACUUCCAUUGAUAAAUAUGAGAAGAGAACAGAUGCCAUUGCUUUACCUCCAUGCAGAUGAAUACGGUUGAGCAGAAGUGAAGGCCGUUCACAGAAUGAUGUCAAGGUUUCCACUUUGAUGGUUCAGACACACUUGUGGAGCAACAGCGGCUUGGCUUCAGGAAGGUGACUACCCAGUGUGCCUCAGGGUUGGAGACGAUGUUAUUUCCAGGAGCUCGAACGAUUCCUCACCACCUGACUCCUCCAUUCAGCUAGCUCUCUCUUCAUUUCUUGAUUUCCCGUUCGAGCAUUUCAUCCGCCUUACUUCCAUUAGUUUGUUCUUUCUUUUGCUUAACUGAUGAAGACAUUGUUUUUUCAGUUGUAUUUUUCAUUUUGAUUACGUGUAUAUGCAGCGUAAUGUCCUCGUUGCGCGUAAUCACAUAUGAAAGAUUACUUUGGCAAUUGCAUUUGUGGUGAGUGCUAUAUCAGCUUUUCCCACAAUCAAAUCACUCUGAUGAUCAUAUGAUAAAGGCAAGUGUUUGUGUGUGUCAAUCCAUUCCUAGGAAAUGAUGAUUUCCUUUCCUGUUUGUUCACAUUUACAAACUGAAAAUAUGCAAUGGCAGCUUUUACUUGACUACUUAGCCGGUGUAGAAUUUGACAUGCAUGAAACAGAAAAUGUAAUAAAAUAA